UGAGUCUGCUACUGAAAGGAACCAAAAAUGACCUUGAAUUGAAACUCCUGCAUAGGGAGGUGCCGUGAUGAGCUCGGAGAGACCACAGCACGACUCUGCAAGUGUAUUCAGCACAACGUCACGGUUGCUUCCAGUUGGCCAGGGGGAUGCUGAUGAGGUGGUUUCCAGAUCUGAUGAAUUACCUGACUGCCAACGCCAAACUUGGGUUUUCCUCUCUGCAGGAUGGAGAGGUUGGAAGGUUUGAGAAUGGGAAGAGAUGAAGCGGGAGGAAGAGUCAGACAGCCGUGACCUGCCACAACUGUGGCUCCUCUUCAUAGGCAACCAGGAGCUGAGAAGACCUCAUUCAUGCUGAGAUAGUCCUGUCUUCAAGAGAAAAGAGCCUUGUCUUACUGUGUUGACCAGCCUGGAGUGCAGUGGUGUGAUCAUGGCUCACUGCAGCCUCGAACUCCUGGGUUCAAGUGAUUUUUCCUGCCUUAACUUCUCUAGUACUUGGGACUACAGGCAUGUGUCACCAACCUGGCUAAUAUUUGUAUUUAUUUUGUAGAGACAAAGUUUUGCUAUGUUGACCAGGCUGGUCUCAAACUCCUGACCUCAAGUGAUUUUCCUGCUUGGCCACCCAAAGUGCUGGGAUUAUAGGCGUGAGCCACUAUGCCUGGCCAGUUAUGAAUUCUUUAUGUGCAUUUUGAGGACUCAUUUGAAUCCAGGCUCAUGUACCACCUAAGACAGAUUGCUAAAAUACCUUCCAUUCCAUAAGUAAAUUUUGCAUACUUAUUGAAUUAUUUGAAAAUAUAUAUGUGUGUGUG
rnacentral:lncRNA from 10 species